CCCGCGUCCCCUCCGCGCCGCCCGGGAGCGACGCCCACCUGUUUGCCCAGAUCCUGCCAUUUCCAAGGCAAGAAACCUGUAGCCCCGAAGGGUGACCAGGCCCCACCCGGGGCACACACCCUGCUCGGAUUACGUGGCCUGAGGGGCAGCUGCGGGUGAAGCCCCAAGGGCCGGGCGAGGUAGCCUGCGGCGCAAGCCUACCGCCGGGAUGCAGCCGCCCCGGGCGCCCGCUCCAGGAAAAGGCGCCGGAGCCGCUCCUCCCAGCGCCCCAGCCCACCCAGCGCCCUCCGGACAAGUCCCAAGCACAUGGCCUGAACGAGUGAGACUGAGAUGCCAAGUCGGGUUCGAGGAGUUGGGAAGAGGGGAGAGAAAGGGUGGAAGAGGGAAGAUGGAAAGAAAGAGGAGCCCAGAGCUCAGAGGAGUGAAAGGAUUGCUUUGUAAACAGAAGCGCAAACUCGUUCCGAUAGUGGUUCCGCACCAGUGCGCGGCGGCCGCCCUGGCACAGCAGGCGGCCGAGGCUGCGGCUGCACCUGUCGCCUGAGGCCAGGAGGGACCCGGGCCGCGCGUGGAGGGGAAGCACCGAGCCGGGUCGCGGACCUCCGGCCUCCGGGGCAUCUCUAGGUUCUUGGCCUUUGGGCCUUCUGGCUUGCUGCGCUGUACCCUGUUGCUCCAAGAACUCUCCUGCACGCCAGGGAGGCGCCGCGGUGGACACUUGUCAGGGUCACCAGGCCUCCCUUCUGGACUCUCCCUGGGCACCUUUAGUAAAAGCCCAGGAUGCCCACACUGAG
rnacentral:lncRNA from 1 species